rnacentral:rRNA from 1 species
UACAGAGGUCCCAAGCGUUGUUCGGAUUCACUGGGCGUAAAGGGUGCGUAGGUGGUGAGGUAAGUCGGAUGUGAAAUCUCCGAGCUCAACUCGGAAAUGGCAUUGGAAACUACCUUGCUCGAGGGUUGGAGGGGGACUGGAAUGCUUGGUGUAGCAGUGAAAUGCGUAGAUAUCAAGCGGAACACCAGCGGCGAAGGCGAGUCCCUGGACAACUCCUGACACUGAGGCACGAAAGCUAGGGGAGCAAACAGG